AACUUCAGCAUAGACAUGUCGUGGUGUGAUAACCGGUUUGAGUACUGGGGACAAGGAACUAUGGUCACCGUCACAUCAGUUAGCCCCACACCCCCGUCUGUCUUCCCCCUGACCUCCUGCACCGCCGAAGGCACCACCCCCCAGGUCACCUUCGGCUGCCUGGCCAAAGGAUACUUCCCCGAGCCGGUCACCGUGACGUGGAGCCCAAACGUCGCCUCCCCGGGUGUGAAGACCUAUCCCUCCCUGCUGCAACCUUCCAGCGGCCUCUACACGCUCAGCAGCCAGGUCACCGUCCCGGUCAGAAGCUGGGAGUCUAACACUUAUAGCUGCAACGUACAACACCAGCCUACCAGCUCCAGCAUCUCCAAGGAAAUCCCAAAGCCCCGCCCCAUUGAACCCCAUGCCCCCGAGGUGCACGUUCUCCACUCCUCCUGCACCAACCACCCAGGCACCAUCCAGCUGGUGUGCUUCAUCUCCGGUUUCUACCCUGACCCUUUGACGGUGGAAUGGCUGGUGAACGGCGAGCCUGGGCUACUUCAUGGUGAUACCGACCUUGCCAAGAAGGACGCCGACGGCGACACCUUCAGCACCCGCAGCAAUGCCAGUGUCUCUCAGGAUGAGUGGCUGGAGGGCAAGACGUACACCUGCCAGGUGUACCACCCGGGCACCAGGAGCACAAAGCAGGACCAUGCCCGCAAGUGCAGAGAAGAAACAACAUCUCCCAGCAACAUCCAGGUCUUCCUCGUGCCCCCGUCUCCCGCCGCCCUGUAUGUGGCCCAGAGCCCUAUGCUCACCUGCCUGGUGGUCAACCUGCCGAGCGACUCUGGCCUCCAGAUGGUCUGGUCCCGAGAGAAGCCAGGGUCCAUUGUCCCUGAUCCCCUGACCCUCACUGAGCAGUUCAACGGCACCUUCACCGCCUCCAGCUCCAUGCCCAUCUUCACCCGCGACUGGGAUGCCGGAGAGACCUUCACCUGCAAAGUGGAGCACUCAGAGCUGCCCUCACCCCUCAUCAAAUCCAUCUCCAAGAAGCCAGGCAGGCGCUCUGGCCCAGGCAUCUACCUCCUGCGCCCCCACAACGAUGAGCUGAGCAGCUCCGAAGACUCUGUCAGCCUCACCUGCCUGGUGCGGGGCUUCUUCCCCGAGGACAUCUCGGUGCAGUGGAUGAAGAACCACAAACCCGACGAGAGCAUGGAAUACAUCACCACCCAGCCCAUCAAGGACGGAGCCGGCGACUCAAACUUCUUCCUCUACAGCAAGCUGAAAGUCAGCAAGGCCAGCUGGAACAGCGGGGACACCUACACCUGCAUGGUCAUCCACGAAGCCCUGCAGAUGAAGUUCACCCAACGCAGCAUCAGCAAAGUCUCUGAGGUGAUCGUGUCAGGUGAGUUUUGCAGUGAGGACGGCGAUGAGGAGCUUGACGGCCUCUGGGCCACCAUCUCGGUCUUCAUCACCCUCUUCCUCUUGAGCGUGUGCUACAGCGCCACUGUGACCUUGUUCAAGGUGAAGUGGCUGUUCUCCACCGUGGUACAGCUGAGGCGUGCGAGGGGCCCCGAGUACAAGAACGUGAUCCAGCGCGUGGUGUAGGGGCCCCUGCCCCUGUCUGCCCGGAGACAAGGGGCCGGGACUCCCGGCUCUAUUGGUGACAUUACCCUGAGUCCCACAGCUGCCCCCCACCACUGCUGUGCCUCUGGGAGACCCCCCUGGGGGAAGCAAGGAGCUCACCCAACAUGGCCUAAUCAGCCUUUAGCCACUGGGAACGCUGCCCUGCUGGGAGCUGGGCUGAGACCGGACAACUCGUACCAUGCAGGGAACCAGCGCCCCUAGCAAGGAAACAACCUGAGUGCCACUUCCCACCCUCCUGACCCCAACAGCCCCCUGCUCUGGGACUGGAUCAGAACCAGCGCACCAUAGAGUGGAAAGGCUCCAUGUCCCAUUCCCCCACCCUGGGGCUAGAUUGGAGCUGGUGCCCCCUAGUGGGUAAGGACCCUGUGCCCCAUUCCCUGUCCCCCUGAGCCAGCCAGCCUCCCACCUGGGGCUGGAUCACAAGUGGCUUUGUCUCUGUUGCUCUGAAUGUUGUGUAUUUAGCUCCCGGCUGUUUUUUGUGAUUUUUGUGGUUUGCACUGAGUAACCGUAAAUAAAUAAAUAUUCAAUGCGG